AUGGUACCAAGUCUUCUGUGUACACAGCCUCUCAGCCAGAGUCACAACCCCGGCCCCAACUGCACCAUUUGGCACCCACACUGUGCCGGGAAGGGGACAGACCAAGUCCAGGGGUUAAACCCAUGCCCUGAACAUUCUCCUUCUCACUUUCACACACCAGAGACUGGCCGCAGAAGACUCCAACUGAGCAAAGCCCUUAAUCUUCCAGAUUCUUGUUUCUGGUUUGUGAGAGCAGUCAAGGAUGGGAGGAGCUUUGUGACUAAAAAGCCCUGCUUGGUUUUCCCCACACAGGAAGACAAGGCCAAACGUGUUGCAAUUGUGGGAGCUGGUGUCAGAGGCCUGGCCUCCAUCAAGUGCUGUCUGGAGGAGGGACUGCAACCCACCUGCUUUGAGGGGAGCAACGACCUUGGGGGACUGUGGAGAUUCACUGAAAAUGUUGAGGAAGGCAAAGUCAGUCUCUACAAGUCUGUGGUUUCCAACAGCUGCAAGGAGAUGUCUUGUUACUCAGGUUUUCCCUUCCCAGAAGAUUAUCCAAACUAUGUGCCAAAUUCUCAGUUUCUGGAAUAUCUCAAAAUGUAUGCAAAUCAUUUCAACUUUCUGAAAUGCAUUCAAUUCAAGACCAGAGUCUGCAGUGUAACAAAAUGCCCAGAUUUUGCUGUCUCUGGCCAAUGGAAGAUGGUCACUCUCCAGGAGGGGAAGCAAGAAUCUGCCAUCUUUGACACUGUCAUGGUCUGUACUGGUUUUCUUACUGACCCUUAUCUACCACUGGAUUCCUUCCCAGGUAUAAGUGCCUUUAAAGGCCAGUACUUUCAUAGCCGACAAAUAAGCAUCCAGAUAUAUUUAAGGACAAGAGAGUCCUGGUGGUUGGAAUGGGAAAUUCUGCCAGAGACAUUGCUGUGGAGACCAGCCAUCAGGCAAAAAAGGUAUAUCUCAACACCACUGGAGGGGCAUGCGUGAUCAGCAGAGUCUUUGACUCAGGGUACCCAUGGGACAUGGUGUUCAUGACACGAUUUCACAACAUGUUCAGAAAUUUCCUCCCAACUCCAACUGUGACUUGGUUGAUGGCGAGAAAGAUGAACAACUGGUUUGAUUAUGCAAAUUACAGCAUAGCACCAGAAGACAGGAUUCAGCUGAAAGAGUUUGUGCUAAAUGACGAGCUCCCAGGCCGUAUCAUCACUGGGAAAGUGUCCAUCAGGUCAAACAUAAAGGAGGUGAAGGAGUACACUGUCAUAUUUAAAAACACUCCAAAGGAGGAGUCCAUUGAUAUCAUUAUCUUCGCCACUGGAUACACCUUUGCUUUCCCCUUCCUGGAUGAGUCUGUAGUGAAAGUUGAGGAUGGCCAGGCCUCGCCGUACAAGUAUGUCUUCCCCGCCCAUCUGCAGAAGCCAACCCUGGCUGUCAUUGGCCUCAUCAAAGCCUUGGCCUCCAUGAUACCCAAAGGAGAAACACAAGCUUGAUGAGCUGCUCGAGUCCUGAAAGGUGUGAAUAAGUUACCACCACCAAGUGUCAUGAUAGAGGAAGUUAUUGUAAGGAAAGAAAACAAGCACAGUGGGUUUGACUUACACUACUGCAAGGCUUUACAAUCAGAUUAUGUCAUAUACAUAGAUGAACUCCUGACAUAUAUCAACACAAAACCCAACCUGUUCUCCAUGCUACUGACGGAUCCACGCCUGGCUCUGACCAUCUUCUUUGGCCUGUGCUCACCAUACCAAUUCCACCUGAUUGGUCCAGGGAAAUGGGAAGGAGCCAGAAAAGCCAUCAUGACUCAGUGGGACUGAACAUUCAAGGUCACCAAAACUUGAGUUGUCCAAGAAUCCCCAUCUCCCUUUGCAAGUGUAUUUAAACUCUUCAACUUUCUGACUUUGCUGGUGGCUAUUUUCCUGAUUUUCCUAUAA